rnacentral:rRNA from 1 species
UACAGAGGUCUCAAGCGUUGUUCGGAUUCAUUGGGCGUAAAGGGUGCGUAGGUGGCGCGGUAAGUCGGGUGUGAAAUCUUGGAGCUUAACUCCGAAACUGCAUUCGAUACUGCCGUGCUUGAGGACUGGAGAGGAGACUGGAAUUUACGGUGUAGCGGUGAAAUGCGUAGAUAUCGUAAGGAAGACCAGUGGCGAAGGCGGGUCUCUGGACAGUUCCUGACGCUGAGGCACGAAGGUCAGGGGAGCAAACGGG